UACGGGGGGGGCAAGCGUUGUUCGGAAUUACUGGGCGUAAAGGGCUCGUAGGCGGCUAACUAAGUCGGAUGUGAAAUCCCCAGGCUUAACCUGGGAAUUGCAUCCGAUACUGGAUGGCUUGAAUCCGGGAGAGGGAUGCGGAAUUCCAGGUGUAGCGGUGAAAUGCGUAGAUAUCUGGAGGAACACCGGUGGCGAAGGCGGCAUCCUGGACCGGCAUUGACGCUGAGGAGCGAAAGCCAGGGGAGCAAACGGG
rnacentral:rRNA from 1 species